GAAAUGCGAUAAGUAAUGUGAAUUGCAGAAUUCAGUGAAUCAUCGAAUCUUCGAACUCACCUUGCGCUCCUUGGUAUUUCUUGGAGCAUGCCUGUUUGAGUAUCAUGAAAUCUUCAAAGUAAAUCUUUUGUUAACUCAAUUGGUUUCUACUUUGGUAUUGGAGGUCUUUGCAGCUUCACACCUGCUCCUCUUUGUUCAUUAGCUGGAUCUCAGUGUUAUGCUUGGUUCCACUCGGCGUGAUAAGUUAUCUAUCGCUGAGGACACUGUAAAAGGUGGCCAAGGUAAAUGCAGAUGAACCGCUUCUAAUAGUCCAUUGACUUGGACAAUACUUUUAUGAUCUGAUCUCAAAUCAGGUAGGACUACCCGCUGAACUUAAGC
rnacentral:misc_RNA from 1 species